AUGCGUUGUCCUGAGUUCUGACUUAAGCAUCAUUGAUCGAGUCUCUUAGUAUAGUCUGAAACUUGAAACUUGUUUUUCAUUUUUCUUUGAUUGUGUCUAAAUUAAAGUUUGAUAUACAUUUGGAGUUAGAUAUUACUGCGAGGGCCUCUAUCAAUUGCCGUGUAAUACUAUCAAUUGCGUAAGACGACGUGAUAUUUAUGCAUGCAAUUAUAGAAAGUUUGAAGACGCGUUAAUGUGUAUAAAACAACAUCGUAUAGUGCAUUCUUGAUGAAAAAGUUU